AGAAGCUGGUAUGUUUCUGCUUGCUCUUGUGUGCUCUGCCAAUUGCUAUGAGAAGAACACGUCUCUGGUCCCAGACAGAGGAUGGGGGACACGCAGAGCAGAGCCACUCCAGUCCAGCUGCCUUAGCUGAGCCCAGCCUAGACCAGCUGACCCCCAGCUGACUUACAGAUACGUGGAUGCCAAACUGGCUGGUAAUCAAGACCCUAAGGAGAAAACAUAUGCUCCAGACACCAGCUUUGCCUUGGCAGUGGUUACUACGGAAUAUUGAUUAGAGUUCCCUGUGCUAUACAGGUCACAAGAGACGAACAUUUGCCAUUUCUCAUCCUGCAUCGUUUUUGGAGGUUGUUAUGGAAAAUUGGCAGCCUAUCAUUUCCUUCAUACAGUUUGACACAAGGCUUUCAGAAGAGAGAGACUUGAAUGUCUCAUCUGCCUGGACGAGAUGAGGGUUGAAUUAUUGAACACCUGGUCAAGGGUUUUUAAGGACUUUAUAAAAGUAAACAUGUCACAAAAAGAUGUGUUUCCAAAUAUUUGAUUUAUAAGCCAUCUCUUGUACCAGAGGCCCUGAUCCCCAUGACUUUUCUCACCAUGGACAAUGAGACUUGAAGAAUAUGAACAGUUAUCUCUGUGCCAAAGUGCCAGUUCUUCGUGGACCGAAUGCAUCACACAAGAGAGGAUGGUGCCAAAACCAAAGGUGGACUCCAACAGACGUUGUGAGCUGCCCUGUAGCUGAGGAGCCGAUUCCCGAUGACAGCUAAGCAGGUUUAUAGUCUGCAGAUGGAUCUUGAGGGGUGAGGAAGGAAGCCUCAAAGCUCCUGAGAAGCUGGAAGGCGAAGAGAAACUGCCUCCUGAGCCUCCCAGGGGAGACGUGGAAUGGGGAGGGGACUUCAGAGCAGCCCUCACAGGCCUCCCGGGGCAACACAAGGCACUGGGCCAAGACUCAGGUGAGCUGUGGGUGGAGUUCACCUGCAUGCCCAUGUGGAUAUGUGCAAGCUCACCAUUUACAAUAUGUCAACAACAGAGAGUGAAUAUUUCUAGGCGGUGUGAGUGAAGAUACAGUCGUCUCUCCGUAUCUUGGGGGUUAGGUUCCAGGACCCCGCAGGAGCCAAAAUCCAAGGAUGAUCAAGUCCCUUGUAUAUCAUGAGAACAAUGUGCGGGCUCUUCUCUGAUCAAAAAAGAAGGUGACUGGAUUUUCAAGGCAGUGCCAUCUCCAAGCAGUGGAGUACAGCCCUCCUUUAUGAGAUGGGCUAGUUCAUCUUUAAAGCCAUUGAGAGUAUUAUAAUUAAUACACCUGCAAAGAUUUUUGGACCUUCACUAUGAGAGAAUGUCUUGGGGGAACUCAGCAGCCAUUUUUUAGUAAAAAUAAAUAUUCAUGUGUGUCCAAGAAAUGCCCCCAUGUCUACCAUAUUUAACCAUACACAGCAGAAAUGAUAAAUGUCCUGAGUCCUCACAGUUCCUUGUGUAACAGGUAAAUGUGCAAAGAAUUGACUUGUGGCAUUGAAGGAGAAUCCAAAGCACAGAACCAUCGAGGGCUUUGGUGAAUGCAACGUAACCAAUGUCUGUGGAAUGCCAGUGACAGGGCCGAUCACCAUAGAACUAUCUAGAAUGGGCAUUGCCGAACCAUUCCAGAGUGUUUAUCUUCAGGCACCUUGAGGCCCACACUGAGGAAUCCUGAGCUUCUGGUAGGAUCAGCGCCCCUUCAGGCAUCCUUGGAGUCACAGAUCUUAGUUUCCCAACGAGGGAUUGAACCUGGGCCACAGCAGUGAGAGCACGGAGUCCUAACCACUGGACCGCCAGCCAAUGAUGAAAUGUGACGGGGACCCCAGCGUCUGGAUGAAAUUCUCAAGUUUUUACUAGAGACAACAGUUAUCCUUUUGAUUUUCUAAAGCUUGAUUUCCGUGUUUGAAUAGGUAUGAGAAAAAUAAGUUCUGGCAAGCAAUAACUUGCAACUGCAGCUGUUUGGGGAAAAAAGAAAACAAGCAGUCUGGAAGGCAUAGAGAACCCUUGCCUUAUGUAGAAAUACUUCUCUGGACUUCCCUGGUGGCGCAGUGGUUGAGAAUCUGCCUGCCAGUGCAGGGGACACGGGUUUGAGCCCUGGUCUGGGAAGAUCCCACAUGCU